GAGAAGUCUCCCUAUGAUCGAGGCCGUCACUUUGAUCAUAGUAGGUCUCCUUAUGACCGGAGUCGUCAUUAUGAUCAUAGAAGCCGUAGCCCAAGUUAUUCAGAGUGGUCCCCACAAGAUCAAGGCCGCCACCAUCAUAGGAGGGACAGGACACCUAACUUCAUGGAGCCGUCCCCACGUGAUCGGAGUAGGACUACUUAUCAUCGAGACACAGGUCGGAAAAGUGGACCAAGUGAUAAAAAGGAUAGUCAUUUUGAAGGCAAAAAGC
rnacentral:misc_RNA from 1 species